AGGGUGCAAGCCGAAAAACCCUAAAAGAGUAGGCG
rfam:Spirosoma linguale DSM 74, complete genome.